rnacentral:rRNA from 1 species
CAACCUGCCGAUGACUCGGGGAUAGCCUUUCGAAAGAAAGAUUAAUACCCGAUGGCAUAGUUCUUCCGCAUGGUGGAACUAUUAAAGAAUUUCGGUCAUCGAUGGGGAUGCGUUCCAUUAGGUUGUUGGCGGGGUAACGGCCCACCAAGCCUUCGAUGGAUAGGGGUUCUGAGAGGAAGGUCCCCCACAUUGGAACUGAGACACGGUCCAAACUCCUACGGGAGGCAGCAGUGAGGAAUAUUGGUCAAUGGACGAGAGUCUGAACCAGCCAAGUAGCGUGAAGGAUGACUGCCCUAUGGGUUGUAUACUUCUUUUAUACGGGAAUAAAGUGAGGCACGUGUGCCUUUUUGUAUGUACCGUAUGAAUAAGGAUCGGCUAACUCCGUGCCAGCAGCCGCGGUAAUACGGAGGAUCCGAGCGUUAUCCGGAUUUAUUGGGUUUAAAGGGAGCGUAGGCGGACGCUUAAGUCAGUUGUGAAAGUUUGCGGCUCAACCGUAAAAUUGCAGUUGAUACUGGGUGUCUUGAGUACAGUAGAGGCAGGCGGAAUUCGUGGUGUAGCGGUGAAAUGCUUAGAUAUCACGAAGAACUCCGAUUG